rnacentral:lncRNA from 1 species
GAUGAUCAUUGAGGUUAUGUGUAUUUAUAGAACUCAAUUUCUUAAUCACAGUUCUUCAGCAAUGUAUACAUGAAGCUCAAUAAAUUUUUUUAAAUAUUAAAAUAAAGUCAUAUAUUUUAAAAAUAUUUACUUGCAAUCAAGAUCAUCGUAAGACACAUCAUUUGAAUCAAAAUUAUUAUACUUUGAAGGUAAGAAAUGAUAUGUUUCGGAUGCGUAUCGGAGCAAUCAAAAUAAAUUCUGUUUUUCUUACAUUAACAUUUUAUUUAGUAAUCAUAUGGAGUUUAAACUUUUAUUCAAAAUCAAAUUCUGAAUUUCAUAAAGAUUUUCAAUAGAGGCCUUUUAAGUCAUAAUUUGAGAUAUGUAUCUUUCAUAUUGUGGCUCAUCUUAAAUUAUUAUGAUUGAAAAAUACAUAUUUCAAUACCAUUAAAGCACUUUCAGAAUCUUUGUGUUUAAUUUUGAGUUUCGAUACAAAAUAAAGGAUAUUUUAACAAGUAUUAGGACAUUAUGUAUCAAAGUUAGACGAGUAGAAAGAUAGAUCAAAAUCAAUUUAUUUUCCCUAAAUAGAGAUAUUCUUCUCUUUUCCUU